AUUGAACGCUGGCGGCAUGCUUUACACAUGCAAGUCGAACGGUAACAGGCCGCAAGGUGCUGACGAGUGGCGAACGGGUGAGUAAUGCAUCGGAACGUGCCCAGUCGUGGGGGAUAACGCAGCGAAAGCUGUGCUAAUACCGCAUACGAUCUAUGGAUGAAAGCGGGGGACCGUAAGGCCUCGCGCGAUUGGAGCGGCUGAUGUCAGAUUAGGUAGUUGGUGGGGUAAAGGCUCACCAAGCCGACGAUCUGUAGCUGGUCUGAGAGGACGACCAGCCACACUGGGACUGAGAAACGGCCCAGACUCCUACGGGAGGCAGCAGUGGGGAAUUUUGGACAAUGGGCGCAAGCCUGAUCCAGCAAUGCCGCGUGCAGGAAGAAGGCCUUCGGGUUGUAAACUGCUUUUGUACGGAACGAAAAGGCUCUGGAUAAUACCUGGGGCUCAUGACGGUACCGUAAGAAUAAGCACCGGCUAACUACGUGCCAGCCGCCGCCGUAAAAC
rnacentral:rRNA from 1 species